UCAAUGCAGCUGUGAGGAACACCUACAGCCAGACUGCCCUGGACAUAGUUUACCAGUUCUCUGCUUCACAGGCCAGCAGAGAGAUCAAACAGCUACUCAGAGAUGCGUCAGCAGCCCUCCAGGUCAGGGCCUUGAAGGAUUACUGCAACAACUACGACCUGACCAGCCUCAACAUCAAGGCUGGGGACGUCAUCACGGUUCUCGAGCAGCAUGUUGACGGGCGCUGGAAGGGCUGUAUCCAUGACAACCGUACAGGAAAUGACCGCGUCGGCUACUUCCCUUCUACAAUAGUGGAGGUCAUCAACAAGAGAA